rnacentral:rRNA from 1 species
GACGAACGCUGGCGGCGUGCUUAACACAUGCCAGUCGAACGGAAAGGCCUGCUUUCCCUUGUGGAUUGCGGGUACUCGAGUGGCGAACGGGUGAGUAACACGUGAGUGAUCUGCCCCCAACUUGGGUAUAAGCCUGGGAAACUGGGUCUAAUUCCCGAUAGGACUGCAGGGUGGUGCCUGUGGUGGAAAACGAUUUUCUAGUGGUUGGGGAUGAGCUCGCGGCCUAUCAGCUUGUUGGUGGGGUAAUGGCCUACCAAGGCGGCGACGGGUAGCCGGCCCGAGAGGGUGGACGACGAUAUUGGGACUGAGAUACGGCCCAGAGCGAUACAGGGGGCAGCAGUGGGGAAUAUCGCACAAUGGGCCGAAGCCUGAUGCAGCGACGACGCGUGGGGGAUGACGGCCUUCGGGUUGUAAACUCCUUUCGAAAGCGAGGAAGCCACCUGGUUGGAAGGGUGGUGACGGUAGUGGUAGAAGAAGCACCGGCUAACUACGUG